CAGUAGCACUAAAGAACUCUUCUGCAGCAAAGGUGAUGAGAUUGACAAGCAACGGCUCUACAUGCCACAUGAUAGCACACUUGAUAGGAAAUUGCUUAAGCUGUAUAGUCUAAAAGAACAGCAAUCAUACACUUCCUAGCUAGCAAUGCCUAAUAUCGUCAUUAUUUGUUAGAAGUAUCUUCAGCAAGAAAUGAAAGGGUAUCUUGACUGAAAGGAGCUAUAGAUAUGGCAAAAUAUAUGAUACAAGAAAUUCAGGGGAAAAUGGAUGCCAAUACAAACCAGUUGAAGUUCCAAUUGAUGAUGCUUCAAGAAAAGUUUCUAGAUUUCAAAGACAUGAAUUCUCUCACAGAGAUACUGGGAUUGUGGAGAGAAUGAAAGCCCUCAGUAAAGAUGUUGAGUUUGGAUAAUUUUUAGAUGAGGAGGAAAAAUAAAGAACUAGAAUAACUUCACUUUCCAAGUUGAGAGAGGUAGAUAUAAUUUUAGGCUUUAUAGAUACAAUUAAGCAUGAGCAUGUAUAUUGUUGAACAUAUAUCUAUGCAUUUAGAUGUAGCAUGAACCUUGAGUCUUAUUCUUCUUUCAAAUGUCAUCCUUAUAUAUGAGGGUAAUCGAUCAACGUUCAAGGAUUCUUGAUAUGCUCCCUACUGAAAUUAACAUUAUUGUUGUUUUCUUCAUUUUUGGAUUCAUUCCACUUGCUUAUUUUCCACUCCUUUUUCUGGGGUUCACGAACAUCCACUUCUCCUGUAUCUGAUUCUGAAGUUUGUCAUGCAUUUACUCUGUUAAAAUAUGAGCUUCAGAUGUUCUUGAUAUUGCAGAACCAGACUUCUAUUCCUUUCCCAGUCAGAUUCAAGCAAUAGUUGCAAACCCUACAGAAUUCAUUUUCCAGGCCAGGCCUGAUGGGCUCGGGCCAGGACCAAGACCACCCUAAACUUAAAGCAGGACAAGAAAUCAGUCUAUUCAUCAAAAACAAAAAGUCAGUGGGUUCUAAAAACUUAAUCUAUGCACACGUGUGCCCGUGCAUGUCUCCAAACCCAGCCCGCUUUACCACCUGACCCCAUUUAUUUCCUCCAUUAUAUCUUCUUUGACACUUUCUUUCCUUUCUCUCUCUCUCUCUCUCUCUUUCUCUCUCUAUAUCUCUAUCGCCAAUCAAGCUUCCUCCCAUGGCUGACCGUGCUCCUCCUCAGCAAGCUUCAAGGCCCGACGCCACAACAUAUGUUUCCGCCUUUCUACGUAAACUCCUAGCUCAUGCUCCCAAGUCAACCCAACUCGUCGGUUUCUUGACUCUCCUCAUCUCUGGUUCCAUUCUUCUCAUCCUCUCAGGCAUCACUAUCACAGUUGCUGUUCUUAGCCUUAUCUUUUUCGCUCCUUUGAUCAUUAUUUCCAGCCCAAUAUGGCUCCCCGUCGGAAUCUUCCUCUUUCUUUCCAUUGCCGGGUUCUUGUCGAUUUGUGAGGUGGCAGUGGCGGUUGUGGGUGGAUUAUUCUGGAUGUAUAGGUAUUAUAGAGGGAUGAGUCCACCGGGUUCGGACCGGUUUGAUUAUGCUCGGAGCCGAAUCUAUGAUACGGCAAGCCAUGUGAAAGAUUAUGCUAGAGAGUAUGGUGGGUACCUACAGAGCAAGGUGAAGGACGCAGCUCCAGGGGCAUGAUGAUGACGAUAAUGAUGAUGAUGAUGAAUCAGGCCGUGUUGGCGGUGGGAGUGGAUUAUGGCGAAGUGGGUGUUUCUUUUUUUCCAAGAACUUGCUUGGGACAAAAGAGACAAGAGGGUGCUUGUUGAAAGAGAUAACUUGCGGGUGGCCUUUUUUUUAACAUCAGAAUGUGGAUCUCACAAGCCUUUUUGUCAUCCUCUGGCAAGUUUGGAAGAGCAGAAAUGCCCCUACUUUUGACAACAAGAGGCUUCCACAUGAAACAAUGAUAGCUUCAGCCAUUCAUCAUUUUGACUCUUUUUUCUGCUCUCAAAGUCAACAGGGUUCUUCUUCGACCUCUAACCCUACUUACUCCAUUUGGACCCCUCCCUCAACAAGAGGGUUCAAAGUUAAUUUUGAUGCUGCUGUAAACACGACAAAACUUAUGGGAUCAGUAGCAGCCAUUGUUCGUGAUGAACAAGGUCAAGUGACUGGAUGGCGUUGCAAAUUGUUUCCAAAUAUAGAGGAUCCCCUAGUUCUUGAAAGUUUGGCUUGUCGAGAGGAUAUUCAACUUGCCAUAGCUAAGGGUUUGGCAAAUGCUAUCAUUGAAGGUGAGGUGGUCAUCAACAGUUGCAAAGGAUAUGUGAGCUCAGUGGAAAUCCAAGGACUUAUAUCUGAUGUUAUUUUGCUAGCUGAAUCUUUAACUUCUGUUACUUUUUCUUAUGUCAGAUGAAAUUGUAACAUUGCAGCCCACUCUCUGGCUGUAAAGGCUCUUAAAGAUGAGUCCCUCUUGUUUAA